rnacentral:rRNA from 1 species
AUUGAACGCUGGCGGCAGGCCUAACACAUGCAAGUCGAACGAGUGGCGGACGGGUGAGUAAUGUCUGGGAAACUGCCCGAUGGAGGGGGAUAACUACUGGAAACGGUAGCUAAUACCGCAUACCAUCGGAUGUGCCCAGAUGGGAUUAGCUAGUAGGUGGGGUAAAGGCUCACCUAGGCGACGAUCCCUAGCUGGUCUGAGAGGAUGACCGGCCACACGGGAACUGAGACCCGUCCCAGCCUCCUACGGGGGGAAGCGGGGGGGAAUAUUGCACAAUGGGGGCAAGCCUGAUGCAGCCAUGCCGCGUGUGUGAAGAAGGCCUGCGGGUUGUAAAGCACUUUCAGCGGGGAGACGUUACCCGCAGAAGAAGCACCGGCUAACUCCGUGCCAGCAGCCGCGGUAAUA